rnacentral:rRNA from 1 species
UACAGAGGGGGCAAGCGUUAUUCGGAAUUAUUGGGCGUAAAGGGCGCGUAGGCGGCUUUUCAAGUGACGGGUGAAAUCCCUCGGCUUAACCGAGGAACUGCCUGUCAGACUGGAAGGCUUGAGACCGGGGAGAGGUGAGUGGAAUUCCCAGUGUAGCGGUGAAAUGCGUAGAUAUUGGGAGGAACACCAGUGGCGAAGGCGGCUCACUGGACCGGAACUGACGCUGAGGCGCGAAAGCGUGGGUAGCAAACAGG